GAGUUUGAUCCUGGCUCAGGACGAACGCUGGCGGCGUGCCUAACACAUGCAAGUCGAACGGGGAUAUUGAUUUCGGUUGAUAUCCCAGUGGCGAACGGGUGAGUAACGCGUGAGCAACCUGACCUUUUGAGGGGGAUAACACCUGGAAACAAGUGCUAAUACCGCAUAAGACCACGGAGCGGCAUCGUUCAGGGGUCAAAGGAGGAAUCCGCAGAAGGAGGGGCUCGCGUCCCAUUAGAUAGUAGGCGGGGUAACGGCCCACCUAGUCGACGAUGGGUAGCCGAGCUGAGAGGCUGAUCGGCCACACUGGAACUGAGACACGGUCCAGACUCCUACGGGAGGCAGCAGUGGGGGAUAUUGCACAAUGGGGGAAACCCUGAUGCAGCGACGCCGCGUGGAGGAAGAAGGUCUUCGGAUUGUAAACUCCUGUUGUUGAGGAAGAUAAUGACGGUACUCAACAAGGAAGUGACGGCUAACUACGUGCCAGCAGCCGCGGUAAUAC
rnacentral:rRNA from 1 species